AGUGACAGCGUUGAUGAACAUGGGAGUACGUUGAGAAAUGUGGCGAAAGCCAUAGAAAGCGAUGACCAAAUGCGCGCUCUUGGUCGAGAGCUCGGUUUUUCGAAGCGUUUCCUUGAUAGGUUUGCUGCCUCGAACAGGAUAGAAGGGAUGGUUACGUGUAAAGGGAACACCGACAUGCUGUUUGAAUGGCGCCAAGAAGUGGUUCCUUCGGAGUUACCCUUUCGACUGAAGAAAGCGCUACGUAAAGCUGGUCUCGUUUUCCUUGCUGAAAAGCAUUUUCCCGACAUCUUGCAACCGGAAGGUUAACAUUUUAUCAAUGUAAUUACGAUGGUCUGAAUGUGUCAACUUGAUGCCUUGUGAUUUCGUUUAUGAGUCUGGACGACUUCACCAGGAUUUCCCCACCCGGAAAACAGUCAACCGGACGAUCACCUUCCUAAGACAAUUACUAGUCCAGAAUGGCGGGGAUUGUUCAUAACAAUUUAUCGUUUUGAAGGCAGUCAUUCUUUUUCAACACGAUGACAAAGCAUUUUAAGAAGUUAACUUAAGGACAAUUCAUACACUCUUUAGUAUUUUAUAAAAAAAUCAUGUUCGGAUGACGUCACUGUAAUUUUCGUACAUUUCAGUAUCUGAUGCACAAGGCUAUUUAAUUUGUCUUAGGUUGUUUUUGGAAAGUCGAUUACGAUUUACGAUUAUGACUUUCCCCACUCGAUAGUUGUUCGAGUGGAAAUUGAUAGCGCAAAAGCUACUGCAACAGCCUACCUGCGGAAACAUCUGAUUGACUAUUACAAGACCGAGACGUGUCAGAUAAAGAGAAAGCCGUGGGAUCCGGAAGACUUUGCUGAUUUGAAGAACCUGUUUACAAACGUUAUCGUGUACUUUGUAAACAAGAAUACGGGAGCGGGUACGAGAGAGAUUCUUCCUGGGUCGAUCAGUGAUGUGUUUCGGGUGAGAGUCAAUAGACUUAUACCAAAUCGAGUCAUCUCAGUUGCAGAAGCGGGAAGGGGCAAGACCUGCGCCGUUGCAAAGAUGGCAUAUGACUGGUCAUACUAGGAAGAGGAGACUAGCUUCUUUGCUUUGAAGUUGAGAGUGGUUGAUGAAGACAUGUCUCUAGGAGAAGCCAUACUGUCCGAAACCCUCGGGAACAUCCACGGAGUGACCCCAGAAUCUCCUGAAGGGUUCAUUGGCAGACAUGAAGAUGAUUGUGGGCUAGCGCAGGAUGGGUAUGAUGAAUACAAGGGUAAGUUGUCUACAAAGCACCUAAAGAGCAUUAUCAUAUUGGCUAUUGGAAACAAGAUUUACAGGUGAUGUCGCCUUAUCGUCACCAGUCGACCUUAUCUAGAGAAGGAGUUUAAAAUUCCAAGACUGACCAGAGUCUACAUGAAAAUGGAAAUUGAGGGCUUCACACAAUCCCAAGCGAUGUCCUUUAUCGAUAAAUACUUCACGUCGAAGUAAAAACCGGAAGAAGUUGGCAAAUUAACAUAGUAUAAACAUAGUAUAAACAUAUAUAACAUAAUAAACAUGGUAAUGCAUUUAUCGAUACCAUCGUCAGCGUACCACUCUUCUGCAUGAUGAUCUGUCAUCUCCGGGAAGAAGGCCUUCUUAACCAGGUUUCUUCCCUGACACGGUUGUUUGACAACAUCAUCCAGUUUCUUCUCACUCAUUUAAGAUCCAAGGACGAUACGUUUGAAUGUGACUAUCACGCCCUCCUUCGAAACCUCAGAAAGUGGUACUCACUGGACUCUUGAAGGACGAGCAGAAGGUGGUAUUUGAAGAUACUGAUCUUCAAGGGUUCGAAGAAUACGAAGGCAUUGCUAUCAAACUGGGUCUGCUGUCAAAGAAGACAAUUCCAGUCACAUACAUGAUAAACGGGAAAGCCUCAAAGACGUACGUCGAGUUCUUUCACAAAAUGGCACAGGAGUAUUGUGCAAGCAAGUUCUUGGCCGGUUCACAGGGCGAUCUCGACCAGAAGUGCCACACCGCUCAUGUAUGCCGAUGUGCUCCGCUUCUUGGCAGGUUUGGAUGACAAUCUGCUGAUGUCUUCUAUUAACUCAUCCUGGAACUUGAGGAGAGAGUGAUCGGCAAAGAAAUCAAGCACAGACUUCUUCUGGAUUGCAUUGGUGGAACCAGAGGUGACAUAUCGAAAUCAACGACUAACUUUCCAACGACCUUUGACGAUGGCAAGCUGUGUCUGCAUUCAUUGUCAUCGAGUGCAGUCAUGGGAUUGAGUAGACUGCCGCCCAAUGUUCGAAAACAGAUUAGGUCUGUGGAUCUCAUGUAUUGCCAUCUGCGGGCACACCUGACACGAAUUCUUUGGGUUGGUCUGCGAUCUUGUACCAAUCUGGAAGAGAUGAAGGUAUGGGGGUGCUGUCUACAACAUUCCAAAUUGGUCACACUUACUUUCAUCAAGCGUCUCACAAUUGGGCACCUCGACAACUCCAGUGAACAUUGCUCACUCAUCACUGCCGUUCCCAACGUCCAAAGCCUCAAAGUGGAGAGUAGUCCAAACUUCGACAAUCUUCAGCAGGUCUUGGACUCGGUCAUGGUAGGACUGGGGGAUACAACGGUCAGAUGUCGAUCUCAUGCGCCGAAACGCUUAUCUGCAGCCUCGAGGCAGACGCACCCUUCUUGGAGAAGCUGGAAUUGUACGACGUCAAUCUGCAUUGGAAUAUUCUGAAGACAUUCGUUUCCAGGCUGAGGCGGAUACCUAGCAUGAGGGAGAUCGAUUUUCAGUACUGCGGCACCCACGAAGGGGGAGACUUUGAAGAGUAUCUCGGCGAAAUCUCUACAGUAAAUGAUGGCGAGAUUGCGGUGACAUUACGCCAUGCAUACCGAGGAGGCAGAACCUAUGGCAUUUGCCACUCUACAAUUUGAGUGCAGCCUACGAAGAAUUUCAGAAGAACAUCAUUAACCAUUUUAAACAUCAAUUAUCAACAGUUAUGUACACA